UGCCAGCCGCCGCGGUAAUACGUAAGUCGCAAGCGUUAUCCGGAAUUAUUGGGCGUAAAGCGUCCGUAGGCGGUUUUUUAAGUCUGUGGUUAAAUCCCAGGGCUCAACCCUGGAAUCGUCAUAGAAACUAUUGAACUUGAGGUAUGAAGGGGCAGAUGGAAUUCCAGAAGUAGGGGUAAAAUCCGUAGAUCUCUGGAGGAACACCAAACGCGAAGGCAUUCUGCUGGUCAUUACCUGACGCUGAGGGACCAAAGCGCGGGCAUCGAACCGGAUCAGAUAC
rnacentral:rRNA from 1 species